rnacentral:rRNA from 1 species
AGUGAACGCUGGCGGUAGGCCUAACACAUGCAAGUCGAACGGCAGCACAUUAAGAGCUUGCUCUUACGGGUGGCGAGUGACGGACGGGUGAGGAGUACAUCGGAAUCUACUUUUUCGGGGGGGAUAACGGAGGAAGACUGACGCUAAUACCUCAUACGACCUACGGGUGAAAGCAGGGGAUCUUGGGACCUUGCGCGAUCGAAUGAGUCGAUGUCGGAUUAGCUAGUUGGCGGGGUAAAGGCCCACCAAGGCGACGAUCCGUAGCUGGUCUGAGAGGAUGAUCAGCCACACUGGAACUGAGACACGGUCCAGACUCCUACGGGAGGCAGCAGUGGGGAAUCUUGGACAAUGGGCGAAAGCCUGAUCCAGCCAUACCGCGUGGGUGAAGAAGGCCUUCGGGUUGUAAAGCUCUUUUGUUGGGAAAGAAAAGCAGCAGGUUAAUACACCGCUGUUCUGACGGUACCCAAAGAAUAAGCACCGGCUAACUUCGUG